AUUCCAGCUCCAAUAGCGUAUAUUAAAGUUGUUGCAGUUAAAAAGCUCGUAGUUGGAUUUCAGUCUUAGUUCGUCUGGCCCGCUCCCUUGAGGAGCCGAGUGCCGGUUGCGAGCUGGACUUCCUUCUAGCAUGGAACCUCUACCGUUAUGCGGCCGGGGGGGACAUCUGGAUCAUUUACUUUGAAGAAAUUAGAGUGUUCAAAGCAAGCUUACGCUGUGAAUAUAAUAGCAUGGAAUAAUAACAUAGGACUCGGGUUCUAUUUUGUUGGUUUCUAGGACUCAAGUAAUGAUUGAUAGGGACAGUUGGGGGUGCUGCUAUUAUAUGGCCAGAGGUGAAAUUCACGGAUUCAUAUAAGAGCAACUUAUGCGAAAGCAUUCACCAAGGAUGUCUUCAUUA
rnacentral:rRNA from 1 species